rnacentral:lncRNA from 1 species
GAAUCUUAAAACCAUUCAUCGGGAGAACUAGGAAAGGACACCUCUGGGCCUGCCUGUGAGCUGCUGCUAGAGAAGAUUAGCCGAGAACUGAGUGAAUGAGAGCCACCUUGAGAGGAGUGCCAUCUAACAGGCUGGAGGUCCGGGUGACGUGAGAAAGUAGAAAGGGGAAGCAAGCCCUGGAUUAUGAGUUUCUUCCCCAGUGGGUGUGGUUUGAUGCUGCCGAUUCAUGGCAGCGUGGAACCAAGGUCUACAGUGGCUGCUGAGGUCAGACUUGAAGAAAUGACUCACAUGCAAGGCUGAUCUACAUAAGUAGCCUGUGCUAAGACUGCCAUCUGGUAGAACAAUCUACAUCACACGACUCCACGUUUCCUGUUACCCAAGGUAAGUACAUUUCAAGCAUGAGGGAAAACUUUAUCAAGUUUCUCUAAGUCCCUUUACUUCGACACUAAAGUGGCUUACACAGGGAGGAGGGGAAGGGAAAGUACGAGGUGCAGGCUACUCUCUCAUCUCCCCAGAUUCCCUCUUCACAGAAGAGAAAGACUUUCUUAGCCAUUAUCACUCCUGUCAUUGAGUCUGUCAAAUUUGCCUACUUGCCCUUUAACAAUGCUCUUCAGGCAACAGAACAGGGAUUUGAGAUACCAUUGAAAAUGGAUGUAUUCAUUUGAGUUUCUCCCACCCCGCCUCCUACUACUUUCCCUCUCUUUCUCUAUGUAUUUUUCUUCCGUGUGUGUGUGUGUGUGUGUGUGUGUGUGUGUGUGUGUGUGUGUGUCUUCCAUGCAGAAUUGAGUGUGUGUCACCAAGUCUAUGCAAGCGAAGCCAUAUACCCUAAGCAUCUCUCUGUUUUGUACUAAGGACCUGGCAUCUGAGAUAAUUCUAACAUGAAACUGGCAUUUUCAGUUUGCUCCUGUCGUAAGUAGAGCCUGCCAUGAAUCCUAUCUCAGGCAGGUAAGAAGCCCGCUACCCCCGACACCCACCACCCACCUGCACGAGGCACCCUGGUACAUCACCUAACCCUCCAUUUCUCUCUGUGGAGAUUCCAGGUCCACCCAUCCACGAGUCCUCCAAAGGGGUUUUCAGAACAUAGGACAAGCCAACAUUUCUACUUAGUUCAGAGUCUUUUUUGAUGUUAUUUUUUUAGUGAAAGAGUAACAGAACAGAGCCUCAGUAACAGCAGAGGAGGAAGGAGAAGAAAAUUCUACUUGCUCAUGAAGACUCAAGAUCUGCUCAGGGCAACUAGAAAAUUUAGCCCUGGUGAAGCCAAGAUAAUCUAUGGGCCACAUUCCCCUAAUCUUGUUAUUGAAAUCCUUCUAUUGCAUCAGAAAAAAAGUUAUUUAUCAGUUGACUGUAAGAGGAAUUAUUGCAUAGUCUUUUGUAUAUGAGACCAGAGAGAACGUGCAGAGAUUGUAUUUUACAUUGUAUCUGAAACACAGAUGCUCUGCUCAUAAACAUUCCUCAUGCCUUCUUCAAGCUGUCCAAGCAAAAUAUGAUUUGCUUUUAAAUUUGAAUAUCUUUAAAAAUUAACAAAUUUAAGACUGUCCUAUCUCAAUCUCCCACAUACUAGGAUGGUGGAUGUGUGCCACCUUUUCCGGCCAUGACGUAACAUGUUUAACUGAUUCCUUCUUCUUCAGCAUCUCCAUGCUCUGCAGGUGCAGCUUCGAUGGACCAUGGC